AGUGUUACUCAUGCUGCCUCCAUCCCUGGUGCCCUCUCUGUAUCUCUGUGCCUUUGUGCACACUGCUUCCUCUGCCUGGAAGCCCUUCUUCCUUUCUCCACACAACACAUCCCUCCUUACUCAUUAAAGUCCCGUACAAAUGCUAAAGGCAGCUGAUCUUGUCAGCAAACUUGGCCACCAAAUAGAAAAUCUCCUUCUAUGCCCACUAGUCAUGGACAAAACUCAAAAGUUGCAUGGGAACUUCAGUUAUCGGGCAAUGUUACCAGGGUUUGGGGCAGAAGGAACAGAUAAAAGGGACAAUUCUAAGGAAGAUGAUUGAAAGACUGACCCCAAUGUGGAGAGGAUGAUUCCAGCACUACUCGUACUGCACUAGGACCUGGUAAGGGCAGUAAUAAUGAAGACAAAACUUUUGUUACUGGGAUUUAGAAGAAGGCUUUCCUGCAAGCACCAAAUGGCUAUGCAAGAAUGCAAAUUGCAAGAGGGCAGAUAAAUGGUUCAUUCUGUUUCUAUUCACCGUUUCAUCGCAGGAAUGGAAGCAUAAUAGGCUCUCAGAACAUUUUUGUUCAGUGUUCAAUUGAUGAACAUAGGAGAGAGCUCAGGCUAACUUGGAAGUCAUUUAUGUGUAAGCACAGGGCAACUGGUUGUUACAGAAAAGAGAACAUUCAAGAAAUCAUGGAGGUGGAAUACAGGAACCUGGGCACCACAUACGCAGAUUACGUGUUGCUCCGGGUUCUUUUGCCUUGACUUCAUAUCUGCCCCCUCAGUCUCUCCAGGAUACAAUGUGGAAAACAUGGCCACUGACAGGUUGGCAUAACUGCCAGAAUAGCUUUAUUCAUCAGAAAGACAGGGACUGUCCUACUUACUACCAGUUCUAAAAUCCCUAGAAAAAG
rnacentral:lncRNA from 1 species